ensembl:misc_RNA
UUACUUCAGUCUCACGAGCUUGUGGCUCCACCUGCCCAUCCUCUAGGUAAAUGCCCAUCUGACUGCCAUUCAGGCCAUUUAACAGGAAAGACAGCAACCAUCAAAAUAAUAAUCUAGCAGAAUAUUU